GUCCACGCCGUAAACGAUGAUAACUAGCUGUCCGGGCUCAUGGAGCUUGGGUGGCGCAGCUAACGCAUUAAGUUAUCCGCCUGGGGAGUACGGUCGCAAGAUUAAAACUCAAAGAAAUUGACGGGGGCCUGCACAAGCGGUGGAGCAUGUGGUUUAAUUCGAAGCAACGCGCAGAACCUUACCAGCCUUUGACAUCCUAGGACGGCUUCUGGAGACAGAUUCCUUCCCUUCGGGGACCUAGUGACAGGUGCUGCAUGGCUGUCGU
rnacentral:rRNA from 1 species